UACGUAGGGGCAAGCGUUGUCCGGAAUCAUUGGGCGUAAAGAGCGUGUAGGCGGCUCGGUAAGUCCGCUGUGAAAGUCCAGGGCUCAACCCUGGAAUGCCGGUGGAAACUGUCGAGCUAGAGUCCGGAAGAGGCGAGUGGAAUUCCUGGUGUAGCGGUGAAAUGCGCAGAUAUCGGGAGGAACACCAGUGGCGAAGGCGGCCGGCUGGGGGUGACCUGACGCUGAGGCGCGAAAGCGUGGGGAGCGAACCGG
rnacentral:rRNA from 1 species